AUUGAACGCUGGCGGCAGGCCUAACACAUGCAAGUCGAGCGGAUGAGUGGAGCUUGCUCCAUGAUUCAGCGGCGGACGGGUGAGUAAUGCCUAGGAAUCUGCCUGGUAGUGGGGGACAACGUUUCGAAAGGAACGCUAAUACCGCAUACGUCCUACGGGAGAAAGUGGGGGAUCUUCGGACCUCACGCUAUCAGAUGAGCCUAGGUCGGAUUAGCUAGUUGGUGAGGUAAAGGCUCACCAAGGCGACGAUCCGUAACUGGUCUGGUAGGAUGAUCAGUCACACUGGAACUGAGACACGGUCCAGACUCCUACGGGAGGCAGCAGUGGGGAAUAUUGGACAAUGGGCGAAAGCCUGAUCCAGCCAUGCCGCGUGUGUGAAGAAGGUCUUCGGACUGUAAAGCACUUUAAGUUGGGAGGAAGGGCAGUAAGUUAAUACCUUGCUGUUUUGACGUUACCAACAGAAUAUGCACCGGCUAACUUCGUGCCAGCCGCCGCUGUAACAC
rnacentral:rRNA from 1 species